rnacentral:lncRNA from 1 species
CGGGAACUCCAAAGAAGCCUGAAUGUUUUUUAAAUGAACGUGGACUUGGGAGGUCUUCCAUGAAAAGCUGGUGCCUUUUCCACAGGUGUCUUUGCUGUCUUCUUUUGGGGAAACAGACUCAACUCUGCCUUCUGUCUGUGUGCCUGCGGUCCGCAACCACAGGAAGACCUGUGGCCACAGUGCAGAGGAUGCUGUGACACUCACAGUGUUUUCUUUUCUCUCAUCACAGGUGGACGGGAUGGACGAUGAAAGCCUAUGUUUCAUGGAGAGUCUGAGUGACAGCAACCAUGAUGAAAGUGAUACAGGUAAGAACAGCUCUCAGGUAGGAGCCAAUGGGAGAGGGAUCCCGGGACACUUGGGUGACGCCUGCUGCUUGGAGUGUGGGGCAGGUGAGUCUGAAACUUAAAAACAGAAAGAAAUUGAUGUAAAGAUGUUCACCGCCUACUUUAAUAAGGAGAGGGAGCAGAUAUGAGAUGCCUGAAUGUUGGCAUCUGUGCUCACCUUGUGUGGAAGGGUCUCAGUCCAUGGAGCAGAGGGAAGGUCUGGGCACCUGGAGGAAAAACCAGGGUGAUGCUCUGUACCCGUAGUCACCUCAGGGAAGCCGGAGAAACGGGAGGGCCACUCUUUCUAACUCCUUGAUUCCCCUGAUGGUGUGUUUCUACAGACUCAGUGGUGGAGAGCCUGAGCAGCCGCCAGGAUGAGGAGGCUGCAGCAACCCUCGAUGAUGUUGUGGAGGCCGGCGGGAGUGAGAAGACGGAGGAAGAGGCCCUGGCUGGGGCAAAUGAGGAGGAGGUGGGGCCGGGAACUGAGAAGGUGCAGGAGGAGGCUGCCUGCAUUGACGAGGCAGAGGAGGAGGCAGGCCCAUCCCUUGAAAAUGACGAGGAGUCCCCAGCCAGCGACCUGGUUGAGCAGGAAGACCAGCUUGCCCCCAAGGUAAGCUCACCUUUC